ensembl:lncRNA
AAGAAAAUAAAGGCUUUCAAAUUAUAGGGCCUACUAAGAUUAAAUUCCUGAAUGGGAGUUUGUUGCCAUCGUUCUGUGCUCAACAAUUAAGCUGUAUUUUGUUUUCAGUUGCAGAGUUAUGCCUGAGUUGCUCCAUGUGCAUAUAUCUGGAUAUAGAAAUGGAGAUUUCACUGUGCAAGGCAAUCCAUCACUGUUUUUCUUCAGCGCCUGAACUCACGGUGAACUGUCUGUUCUAAUAGGCUUCAUCUUCAUUACAGGAUAAUAUAAUGUUGUAUUCUGCAGUCACAGAACCACUGUUUCCCUUUGGCAGUCUGGAAAUGAAGGUCAUUUCACAAGGCAGCCCAGGAGUGUCUGGCAGAAAUGUUCUGGAAACCUCUGAAGGGAUGAAGAAGGAAAAAAGGAAAAAGCUUUCACAUUUGGUCUGGAAAUGAGACUGUUUAAACUGUUGCUCAUUUUGCACCAGAGCUCCCACAUCUGCAGCUGGAACUAUGCCAAGGCUCUGAUGGAAAAACAAGCAGAUGGACUUCUAACAUUUACAAAGGGUAUAUUACAGUAAAGCAAAUGGGAAUUAAAUUAGUAAAGCCAUAUACUUGGGCAUCUUAUGUGAAAAUGGAGAAAGUUCAGAGAUAUCUUUGAAUUGGAAACUGUUCUGUGCUCUGGUUUUAUCUUAUUUUGUUGAGAGGGAAAGGAGCUCUUCCUCUGCCCCAGAGGUGUCAUAGGGGGAAUGUAAAAAUUCAUUAUUUUGAUCCAGACACAAACGUUCUUGGUGGGAUUUUCAGAAAAAAGACUAGAAUGGAAUAUAGAAUUGAAACCACAGAAGUGUCAUGGUUUAACCCUGCCAGGCAGCUAACCCCCAUCCAGCCACUUGCUCAUUCCCCGCUGGUAGGAUGGGGGAGAGACCUGGAAAGGUAAAAGUAUGAAAACUCAUGGGCUGGGAUAAAGACCAUUUAACAUGUAAAGCAAAAGCCUCACAAGCAGGCAGAGCAAAACAAGGAAUUCAUUCACCACUUCUCAUGGGCAGGCAGGUGUUCAGCCAUCUCCAGGGCAGCAGGACUCCACCAUGUGCAGUGGUGACUUAGGAAGAGAAACACUGCCAGUGUGAACAUUGGUGGGUAACUUAGGCACAGCCAGUGUCAGCCCACACCACCCAGAGUAAACCAGAACCAUCAGAAAACUCAUAAAGCUGAAGAUAAAGACAUUCAUGGGAAAUGAAAUGGGAAACUUUUUUUUUCUUGUGCAUUAUAAAUGUGAUCCAGAUGAACAAGUGCAGAUUCUGCUCUUGAAAUUACAUUUUUCUUGACUUUCUUAUUUGAGUUGAUGUAAAAGAUUAUUAAGUGACACUUCUUGACCUAAGCUCCAAGUAUGGAGGGUGAUGAAUUCUGUUUUAGCAUGACAGGUUUCCCUGGAAAUUUUGUUUGGGAUGAAAAAGCUACUGCUAUCAUUAGUCAGUGCCAACAAUACACAUAUAUAUAUAUAUAUAAAUCAUACAGUUAAAUUGGAAAUGAGAAAGAAAAGAUAGGAGUUGUCUAUAACAUGCUGCCUAUAAAUAUUUCUUUAAGACAAUAUCUCUGUUUUUUUUACACUCAAGGAAAAUGUCUUCUCUUCUGGUUUCACUGUGAACAAAGCAAACUGGACAAAACUGUAGGAGUAGGAGAGAAGUAAGUGAGAAGUAAGUAAGUGAAGUGAAGUGAAGAAGUAAGAUCACACAGACCACAGCUUUUAGGUAGACCACAAGGCAGAAAAAUAUGAAUAGGUUCUACUGCCAACAGAGAGGCUGUAAGCAGAACAAAUUAACUACAUAUUUAGUAGAAACUCUACAGUCUGUGUUGAACCAUGUUCAGUGGUGCUGCUGGGUGGCAUCUGAUGUGCUUCUGGAUAAACUAAAGCAAAACCUCAUUAAACUGUAGCUCCUGGUGAUUCUUGUAUCUAUGUAUUAUCCAGAGCAGAUAAUAGCAGUGACAAAAAGGUGAAAACAUCCAUUUCUGUGUCUGAUUGGCAGCUCCAUAAUAAAUGCUACAUAACAUGCUAGGAAGAAUAUAGG